CACCCUGGCUCUGGUCAUCUCCAGGGACACUGAAACACAGAGAUAUUACCAAGUCACACACCUGCAGCCUGCAGCCUCGACCUGGGU